GACUUAGACCAGGAAUCGCCAGGGGAUUUAUUGAACAAUGUAGUUUAGGGCAUUGUGAACACUGAGAUAGGAGAGGAGGCCUGGAUCUUGCCACAAGUUCUGGACGUUCGCUACACCUGUAUUCGUUUUCAGAGGGCGUCCAGCUUUCUAGAAGCGUUCCUUUUUUGUCCAAGUAAAACUGGAGGGUAGGUAGACAGUGCCUACUGUCCAUGUGCAUGGUCCUAUACCUUGAGAAAUACUGUGCCCGCCAUCUCGAUCUGUCGCCGUAAGACCAAGAUUCUGGGAGCUCCCCCCACCGCCAUACCUGCCUCGUCUGUGCCUACGUUGCAGCUGGAGGCUCUUGGAAGAGGUGAAACUGAGCCAUUGAACCUGCGACAGUCAGGCAAUCACCUCUGCAUUCAUCUUCUUUGUCUUCCCUGCAACUCUUUUAAAAAAAUAAUAUAGAUAUAGAUAUUUAGAUAUAGAUUUAUUUAUUAUUAUUCAUAAGUACACUGUAGCUGUCUUCAGAUGCACCAGAAGAGGGCGUCAGAUCUCAUUAAGGGUGGUUGUAAGCCACCAUGUGGUUGCUGGGAUUUGAACUUAGGACCUUGGGAAGAGCAGUCAGUGCAACUCUUUUUAGCAGCCACACUUUUUCCCACGUGUCACUCCCCUCUGCCCUGUGCUAGGCUCCUUUACAAUACAUCUGUAUCGGGCUGAGACAUCAUGCUCUGCUACCACCUCAGGCACAUUCUGGAACUUUCUUAAUUGUCGCCUGAUGUAAGCAUUACUUAAAGCGGUUGCCAUGUUCCCUGAGGAAGAUACACUUGCGUAACUGGAGACUUGUACCUUUAAAUUGCAUAAAAGCCAGACAUGACCAUCAAAAGCCAGAGAUGUUUUUCCCUAGAGCUCUCCAAACGACACAGGCUCUUGUCAUUACUCUGGGUUGCUCACCAUAAUUAGAUGACAAGACUCAGUUGCUGAAGACACCAGUCACUUUGGUGUCUUCAUGGGUCAUGCAGAAACCAAACUGGAAUUGACCUGGAGAUUUCCUCCCAGCUGAUUCAAUUUCAUAGUACCAGAAGGUAACAUUUGGUCUGGAUAAGACCACUUAUGACAAAAGUCAUAAGUGGUCUUAUCCAGGGGUGGACCUCGAGUGCUGCAACUCCAUCUGGUGGCAAGAUGUGGCUGCUGGUGCACUGGUGGCAUGAGAGCUAUGGUGAACUCAAGGCUGCUCUGCAGGAGGGGACCACGCUCAGUGCUAUAACCUGACUAGAGCCCACACUCCAAGGUUACACAACAAGGAGAGAAACUUGCCUUCCGUUGCUCUGCCAAAUGGUUGUGCUGUGAAACUGCCUUCUGAAUAUUUGUCCCCAUAGAUUGCCGCUCUGGGCCCUCGUCAGAGAUGCUUCACUUUGCAGCAGGAAGCGGGAAAUUCAGAGGCUCUCAAGUCCGAAUGCAGAGGAAGAACUGGCUACGAGUGCUUGCUCUAAGAGGGGCAAGAGCUGUGAAAGGUUGUCUAAUGGAUGUCUGGUGGCCAUCAUCCUUGUGACCUCACAGCAGCUGGACAAGAUCAACCCAGCUAGAUCAGCCAGUGUCCCAGCAGGCAGCAGUUCCUGGACUCCAUGUGUUACAGAAAAGGGACAUGAAGGUGGGAGGAGGCUGUGCCAGGAGUGUUGGGAGGAAGAGCAAUAAUUCUGAGUAAACACUUGGUAUAAAUGUGUGAAAUUGUUAAAGAAUAAAAGAUAAAAAU
rnacentral:lncRNA from 1 species